CCUCUUCUCUCAUCUCUCUUCUCAAAUCCACCAAUGAUGCAGUCCAUGCCGGAGUUCCGCCUUGUUCCCUCAUCGAGCCCACCAUGGAAGAUAAGACCUAACAUUCAAGACAAGGCUCGCUGUCGAUUCAGUUUCUGCAGUCCUUCCUUGUAGGAAUACCUUGUUACAGCAUCCAAGAACCAGAUCUUGUAUGUCUUCUUCAGUUCCCCUAGACUCCGGGAGGACUAAUUGAGCUUCUUGUUGUUUUGAUGCCAAUACCAGGAGGACUUUGAGCUUCUUGUUGCCAAACAAGAUUUGAAACUUUGAACACAUUUUAUUUGUUAAGAAGCAAAUCCUAAGGAUUUAAGAGAAGGUCAGAAACAGAUGAUGGCAUUGUUCCUAAUUGAAUCACUUCUGAAUUCAUUUUUUUACGUUUUAUAGCUGCUUGCUUGUCAGCUAUACUUGGCUAUCAUUUUUUAUUUAAUAAAUGUUAUGACUUAUUUCAAACUUUGAGAUUAGAUAUAGAUUUCUUAGCU